rnacentral:rRNA from 1 species
CGGACGUGGAAGCGCGGCAACGCGUGGAGCUGACCGGUACUAAUUGGCCGACAACUUGCCACAAC